AAGGGUAUGGUUCAGUGGCAGAGUGUGUGCUUAGCAUGCACGAGGUCCUGGGUUCAAUCCUCAGUACCUCCA
rnacentral:tRNA from 1 species